GGGACACGUGGUAUCCUGUCUGAAUAUGGGGGGACCAUCCUCCAAGGCUAAAUACUCCUGACUGACCGAUAGUGAACCAGUACCGUGAGGGAAAGGCGAAAAGAACCCCGGCGAGGGGAGUGAAAAAGAACCUGAAACCGUGUACGUACAAGCAGUGGGAGCACGCUUAGGCGUGUGACUGCGUACCUUUUGUAUAAUGGGUCAGCGACUUAUAUUCUGUAGCAAGGUUAACCGAAUAGGGGAGCCGAAGGGAAACCGAGUCUUAACUGGGCGUUAAGUUGCAGGGUAUAGACCCGAAACCCGGUGAUCUAGCCAUGGGCAGGUUGAAGGUUGGGUAACACUAACUGGAGGACCGAACCGACUAAUGUUGAAAAAUUAGCGGAUGACUUGUGGCUGGGGGUGAAAGGCCAAUCAAACCGGGAGAUAGCUGGUUCUCCCCGAAAGCUAUUUAGGUAGCGCCUCGUGAAUUCAUCUCCGGGGGUAGAGCACUGUUUCGGCAAGGGGGUCAUCCCGACUUACCAACCCGAUGCAAACUGCGAAUACCGGAGAAUGUUAUCACGGGAGACACACGGCGGGUGCUAACGUCCGUCGUGAAGAGGGAAACAACCCAGACCGCCAGCUAAGGUCCCAAAGUCAUGGUUAAGUGGGAAACGAUGUGGGAAGGCCCAGACAGCCAGGAUGUUGGCUUAGAAGCAGCCAUCAUUUAAAGAAAGCGUAAUAGCUCACUGGUCGAGUCGGCCUGCGCGGAAGAUGUAACGGGGCUAAACCAUGCACCGAAGCUGCGGCAGCGACGCUUAUGCGUUGUUGGGUAGGGGAGCGUUCUGUAAGCCUGUGAAGGUGUGCUGUGAGGCAUGCUGGAGGUAUCAGAAGUGCGAAUGCUGACAUAAGUAACGAUAAAGCGGGUGAAAAGCCCGCUCGCCGGAAGACCAAGGGUUCCUGUCCAACGUUAAUCGGGGCAGGGUGAGUCGACCCCUAAGGCGAGGCCGAAAGGCGUAGUCGAUGGGAAACAGGUUAAUAUUCCUGUACUUGGUGUUACUGCGAAGGGGGGACGGAGAAGGCUAUGUUGGCCGGGCGACGGUUGUCCCGGUUUAAGCGUGUAGGCUGGUUUUCCAGGCAAAUCCGGAAAAUCAAGGCUGAGGCGUGAUGACGAGGCACUACGGUGCUGAAGCAACAAAUGCCCUGCUUCCAGGAAAAGCCUCUAAGCAUCAGGUAACAUCAAAUCGUACCCCAAACCGACACAGGUGGUCAGGUAGAGAAUACCAAGGCGCUUGAGAGAACUCGGGUGAAGGAACUAGGCAAAAUGGUGCCGUAACUUCGGGAGAAGGCACGCUGAUAUGUAGGUGAAGUCCCUCGCGGAUGGAGCUGAAAUCAGUCGAAGAUACCAGCUGGCUGCAACUGUUUAUUAAAAACACAGCACUGUGCAAACACGAAAGUGGACGUAUACGGUGUGACGCCUGCCCGGUGC
rnacentral:rRNA from 1 species